UCUUUCAUCAUUAACUGGUUAGAUUUUAAUCCCAGCCUGUGUAGAAAUGUUUAGUAACGGCACACAUUCAGUUUGGUGAUUUGGAUUCAUUUUUCACUGGUGUUUCUUUGGCAUUAUUUAAUCUUCCAUAAAAAUAGUACUUGUACAGAAAGAGCUUGGGAGGCAAACAAUGCCUGCUCUAUGCGAAGAAGCACAAGAUCAAAGAAGCUCUAGAAGUCCCAAGGUCACAUUAACAAUACGUAUACAAACGCAUCUCAAAGAGACCCGAAAAUUUUGAUGACUACAACCUGGGACCCGAGUGCUCCACUAAUACAAUUUGCAAAGGCGGGUGUUGAUUAUUGAUUGUCGUUGAAUCACACUGGCACAAGAACUGAAACUCUUUUUUUCCCAUUGCGCUACAAAUGAAUCGUGGUGGCCAGGUGCAGGAUGUUUUGUGAUGCUACAUGGCAGCCAAUUUUGAGGAAUGACAGUAGGAUAAUAUUAUUGUGUAACAUAUGCUUUCGUAUAAGCACUCUAGAUGUACAUUAAAAAUUUAUCAAUCAAUAAAGUAUUAUUUCUUAACAA